rnacentral:rRNA from 1 species
AUUGAACGCUGGCGGAAUGCUUUACACAUGCAAGUCGAACGGCAGCACGGGGCAACCUGGUGGCGAGUGGCGAACGGGUGAGUAAUACAUCGGAACGUGCCCAAUCGUGGGGGAUAACGUAGCGAAAGUUACGCCAAUACCGCAUACGAUCUACGGAUGAAAGCGGGGGAUUGCAAGACCUCGCGCGAAUGGAAGGGCCAAUGUCAGAUGAGGUAGUUGGGGGGGUAAAGGCUCACCAAGCCGACGAUCUGUAGCUGGUCUGAGAGGACGACCAGCCACACUGGGACUGAGACACGGCCCAGACUCAUACGGGAGGCAGCAGUGGGGAAUUUUGGACAAUGGGCGCAAGCCUGAUCCAGCCAUUCCGCGUGCAGGAUGAAGGCCUUCGGGUUGUAAACUGCUUUUGUACGGAGCGAAAAGGCUCUCUCUAAUACAGGGGGCUCAUGACGGUACCGUAAGAAUAAGCACCGGCUAACUACGUGCCAGCAGCCGCGGUAAAAC